AGUCGAGGGGUAUAAGUCUUCGGAUUUAGAGACCGGCGCACGGGUGCGUAACGCGUAUGCAAUCUACCUUUUACAGGGGGAUAGCCCAGAGAAAUUUGGAUUAAUACCCCAUGGUAUAAUUGAAUGGCAUCAUUUAAUUAUUAAAGUCACAACGGUAAAAGAUGAGCAUGCGUCCCAUUAGCUAGUUGGUAAGGUAACGGCUUACCAAGGCAACGAUGGGUAGGGGUCCUGAGAGGGAGAUCCCCCACACUGGUACUGAGACACGGACCAGACUCCUACGGGAGGCAGCAGUGAGGAAUAUUGGUCAAUGGGCGCAAGCCUGAACCAGCCAUGCCGCGUGCAGGAUGACGGUCCUAUGGAUUGUAAACUGCUUUUGCACAGGAAGAAACACUGAUUCGUGAAUCAGCUUGACGGUACUGUGAGAAUAAGGAUCGGCUAACUCCGUGCCAGCAGCCGCGGUAAUACGGAGGAUCCAAGCGUUAUCCGGAAUCAUUGGGUUUAAAGGGUCCGUAGGCGGUUUGGUAAGUCAGUGGUGAAAGCCCAUCGCUCAACGGUGGAACGGCCAUUGAUACUGCUAAACUUGAAUUAUUAGGAAGUAACUAGAAUAUGUAGUGUAGCGGUGAAAUGCUUAGAGAUUACAUGGAAUACCAAUUGCGAAGGCAGGUUACUACUAAUGGAUUGACGCUGAUGGACGAAAGCGUGGGUAGCGAACAGGAUUAGAUACCCUGGUAGUCCACGCCGUAAACGAUGGAUACUAGCUGUUGGGAGCAAUCUCAGUGGCUAAGCG
rnacentral:rRNA from 1 species